AUGAGAAGGAAUCUUGUUUCAGUGUCCAAGCUAGAGUCAAUUGGAUAUAAAAUUCUCUUUGCCGACGGGAAGGUGAAGAUUAUCUUAAAUGGAAGAUUAGUACAUUCAGGCGAUAGACAUGAUGGUCUCUAUUUUCUAAAUGACAUCAUGGAAAAUAAUUGCUUAGUAGGCGAAGAUAACUCCGUUGUGAGGAAUAUAAAUGGACACAAUAAUUGUUCUGAAUCUUACUUGUGGCAUUUGCGACUUGGACAUAUAUCCAAGAACAGGAUUAAGAGACUUAUUAGUUCUGGAAUUUUGAACUUUAAGUGGGAGGAUUAUGGUAUUUGUGAAGCAUGUAUUAUGGGUAAAAUGACUAGGUCGCCUUUUCCCAAAGCAAGUAGAUCAACAGAACAGCUUGCCAUCGCUCGCUCUGACAUUUGUGGGGAAUUUUCCACACCCACUUUGGGAGGGUAG
rnacentral:rRNA from 1 species